rnacentral:rRNA from 1 species
UGGGGAAUAUUGCACAAUGGGCGCAAGCCUGAUGCAGCCAUGCCGCGUGUAUGAAGAAGGCCUUCGGGUUGUAAAGUACUUUCAGUCGGGAGGAAGGUGGUAAGGUUAAUAACCUUGGCAAUUGACGUUACCGACAGAAGAAGCACCGGCUAACUCCGUGCCAGCAGCCGCGGUAAUACGGAGGGUGCAAGCGUUAAUCGGAAUUACUGGGCGUAAAGCGCACGCAGGCGGUUGAUUGAGUCAGAUGUGAAAUCCCCGGGCUUAACCCGGGAAUUGCAUCUGAUACUGGUCAGCUAGAGUCUUGUAGAGGGGGGUAGAAUUCCAUGUGUAGCGGUGAAAUGCGUAGAGAUGUGGAAGAAUACCGGUGGCGAAGGCGGCCCCCUGGACAUAGACUGACGCUCAGGUGCGAAAGCGUGGGGAGCAAACAGG